rnacentral:rRNA from 1 species
UACGUAGGGUGCGAGCGUUUAAUCGGAAUUACUGGGCGUAAAGCGUGCGCAGGCGGUUGUGUAAGACAGAUGUGAAAUCCCCGGGCUCAACCUGGGAACUGCAUUUGUGACUGCACGGCUGGAGUGCGGCAGAGGGGGGAUGGAAUUCCGCGUGUAGCAGUGAAAUGCGUAGAUAUGCGGAGGAACACCGAUGGCGAAGGCAAUCCCCUGGGCCUGCACUGACGCUCAUGCACGAAAGACGUGGGGAGCAAACAGG